ACUCUAGUGAGACUGCCGGUGACAAACCGAGGAGUGGGAUGACGUCAAGUCCUCAUGGCCCUUAUGGGUAGGGCUUCACACGUCAUACAAUGGUCGGUACAAAGGGCUGCCAACCCGCGAGGGGGAGCCAAUCCCAGAAAGCCGAUCGUAGUCCGGAUUGUUCUCUGCAACUCGAGAGCAUGAAGUCGGAAUCGCUAGUAAUCGCGGAUCAGCAUGCCGCGGUGAAUACGUUCCCGGGCCUU
rnacentral:rRNA from 1 species